UCUACACAGAGCUGGGAUCGCACGCAAGGCUUCAGGCACGCGAGGCAAUCACUCCAUCAACUGAGUUACGCCUGCAGCUGUGGAGGUUUGAAUAAGAAACGACCCCCAGAGGUUCAGGCAUUUGAACUCUUGGUCACCACCUUGGCCUGUUCUUUGGUAGAAGCCAGGGAACCCUUAGGAGAAGCUAUGGAAUGUUUAGAGGGCGUGACCUAGUCUCACUUCCGGUCUGCUCUCUGCUUCCGGUUUGCGGUCGGAGAUGCGAUCUCUCCAGUGCUGUGCCUCCCACGCCGUGAUGGGCCACCUCAAACUUUCUGACAACAGAGCUGGGAAAUUCUAAGAAGUUAUUCUACCAUUAAACCUCAGGUGUCUCGAUGAUGAUGAUGACGAUGAUGACAGUGAUGACGACGAUGACUCAAGAGGUUGGAGAGAGAGCCCAGAAGUUAGGAGCAAUUGGUUGUUUGUGCAGAGAACCUGAGUUCAAUUCCCAGGACCCACAUGGCAACUCAUAACCAACUAUAACUCCACUUUCAUGGGAUCUGGUGCUCUCUUCCGGUCUCAGCAGGAAUCAGACGUUGUGCACAGACAUACAUGUGAGCAAACACUCAUAGACACGGAGUAAAUAAAUCUAAAAAAAAGUUAAUUAAUGAAAAACCAAUGGUUAAUUAAAAAGUCAACUUAAACUCA